GCCCCGGCCGCCGCCCUCUAAUCUCAUGCGCAAGGAUAAAAACUAGGUAAACACUAUGGGGCUGCCUAACUCCAGCCAGGGCAAGGACGUACCUUCCAUUUUCCUUCACUUGUUAGAAUAAUCGAGAGUCCACUUAUCAAGCUAUCUUCUAUGGCGUCAGCAGCCAUCCUCCUCCUAGGCGCUGGACUCGCAUGGACUUCCUGCUGUUUCAUGUGCAAUAGUGAUAGCUUGGGAGAAGAAA